UUGUACACACCGCCCGUCACACCAUGGGAGAGGGUUGCAAAAGAAGUAGGUAGCUUAACCUUCGGGAGGGCGCUUACCACUUUGUGAUUCAUGACUGGGGUGAAGUCGUAACAAGGUAACCGUAGGGGAACCUGCGGUUGGAUCACCUCCUUACCUAAAGAUAUUAGUUCGAGUGGCGUGCUCACACAGAUUGUCUGAUAGAAAGUAACGAGCAGAAAUACCUUUAUAGGCUUGUAGCUCAGGUGGUUAGAGCGCACCCCUGAUAAGGGUGAGGUCGGUGGUUCAAGUCCACUCAGGCCUACCACUUUUCGGAAGUGGAAAAGGUACUGCGCGUGACUGUAUGGGGCUAUAGCUCAGCUGGGAGAGCGCCUGCCUUGCACGCAGGAGGUCAGCGGUUCGAUCCCGCUUAGCUCCACCAUAUAGUCCGGUAUUUAAUACUUCAGAGUAUAUUGGCGACAGUAUGCUGCGAAGUAUUUUGCUCUUUAACAAUCUGGAACAAGCUGAAAAUUGAAACAUGACGGCUGAAAUUUAUCCCUCCGUAGAAGUACUGGGAUGAAGAGUAACCUGUCAUAGAGUCUCUCAAAUGUUUGCAGCGCGAACGAUGGAAACAUCUUCGGGUUGUGAGGUUAAGUGACUAAGCGUACACGGUGGAUGCCUAGGCAGUCAGAGGCGAUGAAGGGCGUGCUAAUCUGCGAAAAGCGUCGGUAAGGUGAUAUGAACCGUUAUAACCGGCGAUACCCGAAUGGGGAAACCCAGUGUGUUUCGACACACUAUCAUGUCAUGAAUACAUAGUGGCAUGAGGCGAACCGGGGGAACUGAAACAUCUAAGUACCCCGAGGAAAAGAAAUCAACCGAGAUUCCCCCAGUAGCGGCGAGCGAACGGGGAGGAGCCCAGAACCUGAAUCGGCUUGUGUGUUAGUGGAAGCGUCUGGAAAGUCGCGCAGCAAAGGGUGAUAGCCCCGUACACUAAAAUGCACAGGUCGUGAGUUCGAUGAGUAGGGCGGGACACGUGACAUCCUGUCUGAAUAUGGGGGGACCAUCCUCCAAGGCUAAAUACUCCUGACUGACCGAUAGUGAACCAGUACCGUGAGGGAAAGG
rnacentral:sRNA from 1 species